GACGAACGCUGGCGGCGUGCUUAACACAUGCAAGUCGAACGGAAAGGCCUGCUUUCCCUUGUGGAUUGCGGGUACUCGAGUGGCGAACGGGUGAGUAACACGUGAGUGAUCUGCCCCCAACUUGGGUAUAAGCCUGGGAAACUGGGUCUAAUUCCCGAUAGGACUGCAGGGUGGUGCCUGUGGUGGAAAACGAUUUUCUAGUGGUUGGGGAUGAGCUCGCGGCCUAUCAGCUUGUUGGUGGGGUAAUGGCCUACCAAGGCGGCGACGGGUAGCCGGCCUGAGAGGGUGGACGGCCACAUUGGGACUGAGAUACGGCCCAGACUCCGACGGGAGGCAGCAGUGGGGAAUAUUGCACAAUGGGCGGAAGCCUGAUGCAGCGACGCCGCGUGGGGGAUGACGGCCUUCGGGUUGUAAACUCCUUUCGACCGCGAGGAAGCCACCUGGUUGGAAGGGUGGUGACGGUAGUGGUGGAAGAAGCACCGGCUAACUACGUG
rnacentral:rRNA from 1 species